CAGGGAGCCGCAUCUCCAGAGCCUUCCCCCUGAGCACAGCCCUGCUAAAGCUUUCGGGGAAGGAGGGAGGCAGCGCUGUUGUUGGCAGUGCGGAGCAGCCGCCGGUUCCUCAGCCAGCGCGGCCUCUCCGCACCGUCCCUUCCCCUCCUGCUCCCAUUUUAUUUUACUGCUGAGGGAAAGGCCCACCGAGGCAAAAGCCCUGGGCAAUCGCACCCUUUGCAUGCCCCCUGCUGGCAAUGCUUUGUAUUUGUCUGAAGUGGGGCAGAGCAUCGUUUUCUGCAGGACCAAAACCACUCCUUAUGUCGAGGGCUGGCAGAAUAAUCACUGCGAGUCCCACCUGAGCGCUUUGGGUCGUCUGUGUGGAACAGGGGAGAGGCCACCAAAACCCACCUUCUCCCCACCACUCUGCCAUUUAGUUCUUCAGCUCAUUUAUGGUUUCUAACCCAGAAGACAGAGAUCUUCCGUUAACCUUUACAGCCCACAAAAACUGCAGAAAUGCGCAAGACUAUUUUACAGGAACAGCAUUUACACCUCAGCUUCUCCAUGGAGUUGUUUUACUGGUCAAAGGUAAUACAAAGCUUCCACAUUUAUGGGACUUAUUUCUAACCCAAAUUUUACAGAUAGUUGUCAUCAUUUCCAUGCCCUGUUCUGGUGGAAAUGUGCACCAGGACUUGUGGCCCUUCAGCAGGGAUGUCUGUGCCACAGGAUGCUGCUCCAUCCCAUGGGACCAGCAACAAUCACUGUGUGAAGGAGCUCUGUAAGGCUAAACUGAAGAAAAAAUAAUAGGGAGCACUUUAAAGAAUUUUGGAUAAGUUAUAAAAGUAAGAAAUGUCUGAAAGAGAAAUCUCUGCAUCAGGUAUUUCUUACUAGCAGAAGAAAGCAUUAUUUUUUUACCUUUACUAGAGCUUAUUAAAGGUAUUGGUCUGCUCUUUUGAUGUACGUCACUCAUUCUCCAGUCCCAGUGAGGGCCAAGCAGAAGCACAUUCCUAUUUUUGCACGUCUAACCAAAGUAGCUGUGGAUAGCUCUCCUCAAAGGUUUCCUCCAGCUGGUAAGAGCUGGAACUGAGUGUAUCCUAAUGAACCAAACCCCAAACCAGAUACAGCACCACUGCCAGAGAGCUGCAGCCUCAGAGAGCUGAGUGCCAAGAAGGGUCAGGUUUUGGGGGAGAUACACUGGUUUAUUGGAAACAGAGUGAAGAGCUCAGGCAACUCUCAAAAACACCAUUUAAUAUAAACUUAGACAAUCUACUGCACCUGCAAAACAGUGAGUGUCCUCUGUCUCUGUAGAGCAGGGACAGCAAGGCUGAGAAAGCCCAGGAAAGCCCUGAGCUGGAGAGCAGCAGUCCAGCCCCACAGCACAGUGCAGGGCAAACCAAAUCCUCUCCUGGCUUACGACAGGGCUGCACAAGCCUUUUUGCAGAGCGGGCAGACCUACCUAAAAGAGAGGUCUGGGGCGGGGCUGACAUUUUUGGAAAGAGUUCAGGAAUUCGGAAGGAUAGAACCUCAAAACAGAGGGCAAAAACCUGACUUUGGAAAUUAACACAUGCUGGAAGCACGAGUGCCUGAAGCCCAGCCAGAUAAGGAGCCAGCUGACAUUUUAAGAGCUCUGGAGCUGGCAGAUGCUCUCUCUCGGAGCUUGCUGCAUCCAGCACCCAUCCAAAGGUGUAAUACCAGCACCUUCCCCUGGAGCUCCACACAGCCAGCUGGGCAACAAGGAAAGACAGGUUUGAAGAUGUAGGAGCAUCAAUGUUUGCAUCUAAAUAGACUUGAAAGUGAUUACUGCAAAGCCAAGCAGCUGAAACCUGCUCAGUACUGACAGAGCCCAUCAUUACAUCCUCCCAGCAUGGGGGGUUCAGCUUUCAAAGGAUUGAUGGGAUUUAGCACCAGUUCCCAUUAACACCCGUGACCCACCCAGCACCACUUUGGGAGUUACCCGGGGCAGUUUUCCUCUCUGGCAGCACAGGGGUUUGUACUCCCAGCUCCCCCUAAGCCCCCAUCGAUGCUGUCUGCAUUGCCAAAUGCUACUGCCAGAAUUUCACUGUCAACCUCUAGGAGACACAGUCCGUGCAAGACCCUCCAAGUCAAGAAGAACCACUGGAAUUAACCUUCUAACUGUAAAUCCUGAGGUUAGAGGGCAAAAUGGGCUCAUUUCUCUGUGAAUUAAAGGUGUGGAUGUACCCAGAAGUACCAGAAAGUCACAAGGUGGGGCUGACCUUUCCAGCAGAAUCACCAUCUGAGUGGUUUUGUCAGGAGGCAAAAACUCUACAGGAAAGUGAACAUACCUGAAAGUGCAGCACCUUGGAAUGAGCCAUUUCUCUGCCAGGAGAAACAAAGUCUGAAUUGUGAAGAGAGAUGGCAAAGUCUCCUCUCUGCAGGCUGCAGGGGUGGGAGCCACUGCUGACAGUAGCAGAGCAAGUGUAGAUUGGUAUCUUGGUAGUAAUGGAAGGAACUGCAUUCAGAGCAAGAAGUUUGGGAAUUCAGAAGAGUAAGAUUCUUGGCUUACUUUUUUGUUGGUGACAAAAGGAAAAAGAGGCAGAAAUAGCUGCAGGAACAAAGAUCCUGGCUCUCUCCAAAAAGAUUUGAGUCAGGUUAUGGCCAUUUUGAGUCAGUUAUCUAAAAACACCGGAGGGACAGAGAUUAUGGGUAUGAAAGGCACACUGUUAUAUUGUUUAUAUGAUCUGUCUUCUAAUAAUCUAUAUUGAAUUCUGUAGGUAAUUUUCUGAAAGAUGAUGCUUACUUAUUUGAACAAAUUUAGGGAGCCAUAAACUGCUUUCAGCCAGCAAAGAUCACUGUGCUGUUGGAUGUUAGGAUCCAGCUGAGUCUCCACUGCUGUGCUUAUCUGAAAUAAUGUUUUUAAGAUGCCCUACACAAGGAUGUACUUCUCUGGGAAUGGAGCCCCACUCAGAGGAAAAUCCCUGCUACUGGGUCAUGUAACAAGAGGUCUAAAAACCCUCCUGGAAACAGCUGACAGCUCCUGGCUUUGUAAUCCUAACAGUCUGUUAAUGUAAAGGGAUGGAGUUACCCAACCUAUUAUUACGUGUACGUAAUUACAUAUCUCUGCAAUAGAUCACUCAGGAGAUGAUGGCAGUUGCCAGCAGCUGUUUGGAUGAUCCCAGUCAGGCAGUUUCUGAUUAUUUCCACAACAAAGGAGGAGACAACAGAAAAAGAAGAUGGCAAAUUACCUCUGAUGCCUUUGACAGGAAGAGCCCUUGGAGAUGACAGCAAGAGAAAAGAGAAGAUUAAGGAUUGCUUACAGCACCGGGGAACAGCAGUACUGAAGGAAGAACCAGUGAGGGGCAGACCUCGGCCAGGGCUCUGUAAAACUGCGAACAACAGCUCUCAGCUGGAGUGAGAGGGACCCAGGACCUGAUCCAAGCCCUGCCACUACAGCUCCCAUCUUCGACCCCCCAGGUAAGCAGAGGGCUGUGACAUCACAUAAUUCUCAGGACUGAAAUAUGUUUGACAUCCAGGAAUUCCAGCUCUUUCAGAUCCACCGAGUGGUUUAAGCGCAGGAUGAGGGCCCAGGGCUGCUGUGCUUGUCCCCGCUCAGGAAGGAAAGAGGCAAAAUCCUGGUGCUCCCCAGUGCCCAAGGCCCCUCCCAGGUAGGCUCUGUGCCAGCAUCCUCCUGCCACGGGCUCCUCUCCACUGCUGCUGCCACAGGAGCUCCACAGUGAAUAAUCAGUGAAACAUGUUCAGCUUCCAGAAGCAGAUGGAGCUGCUCUGUGCAGAGGAGCUGCAGAUAUUCCUCUCCUGCUCUAUUUUAACAGUAAUAUUUUCACUGGAGCAAAAAGAAAACAAGCAGUAUUAAGUGCAAGUAUCUCCAGUAUAAAUAUUUAUCUAAGGAAGAAAAAGUGUCCUUGUGUGCAACCACAGGUGCACAGACAAACACUUCAACACCAAAUUCCAUAAAAUAGCCUUCGGACAAGGAGCUGAGCAGUGUUUGGACAGAUGGCCAGUUCUUCUAGAAAUGCUUCAUUUUAACUCCAUUGUUUUAUUCAGGGCAGGUUGCUGUACUGGAAACUAUUCUAUAGCACCCUUUUCAUUCAGUAGCUUCCAUGAAUUAUACAAAUGAGAGUUUACCAUAGUCCAGGUAUAAAUUGCAGGGUCUUUAAAACCUCGAAGGCACUUGUCUUUGCACAGAAUUCAGAGUGCUCAGCACAGGCUGGGGCAGCCCUGCUGGCAGAGAAGGAACUGGGAAAUUUGAGAGCCUGGAAAGUUCACAGCUGAAAGACUAAAGAGUCCCAUCAAAACUGAGAGAGGCAUAUCAAUAAAUUUUAAAAAUAAAUAAAUAAAUUAAUAUAUAAAUUGGGGAAAAACAAAACAAAACAAAACAACAACAAAAAAACCCCACAACAACAACACAACAAUCCCAACCAAAAAUGCUUCAGUGAGAAGAGUCUGAAAUCUGAAAUAGAGGGGAAAAUUCUUUCAACUCCUGCAGCUAGCUGAGGCAAGUUCCCUGGUAUUUCUUCACUGGGAAGUUUCUUCCCUUUGGCUAUACAGCAACUCAUGCCUACAGGAGAGGAGAAAGCUGAUAAACCAGGAUUAGGUGAACUAGUCUAGAUAAAGAACUGACUUGAACCUCUGCCCAAGGUUUGAACUCAAGGCUUGCUCUUCAAAUCAAGUAUUAGGAGGCAGUUUUCCUCCUUUCCUUUUUUCCUUGCUUCCCCUUGUCCAAAAUCUCUUCUCUUCUGUCCUGGGUGAAAGCAGAUGCUUUAGGAUCUCGCAUCCCAGAGAACCUUUUUCCUCAGUUUGACAGUCCUGUACACCUUGUAGCUCCUUUCCAGUGAGAUGAUUUCCCAGAUUUGGGAGCACAGGGAGUGUGGAAGCCUCUCCCGUGUCACAGCCCCUCAAUGCCCCUCAUGCAGCAUGGGACAGCAGCAGCACCUCCCAGUGCUCUGAAUCCUGAGACCCCUAAAGGAGCCCUGCUGCUCAAAGACAGUUUAAAUCACAGGGUCAUGAUUAUAUGCUGCAUCCAAAAAUUUUAAGUAACGUGACAUUUUUAGGGGUUCCUGCAGCCACAGCAUCCUCUGACCUGUAUGGAGGUGACACAUCCGUACAAGGCAUGGAGCUGUUGCACAUUUGAAAGCUUUCUUGGAAGGAUUUCACCAAAUACUCAGUCCAGGUACUGCUGCUGGCCACCAAAAUCACAUGCUGAAUGCAGUUUCGGAAUAUUCUCUUCUGCACUCUGUGUGUUCUGAGAAGAGAAAAACUUUUUUAGUACUUGAACAUACGCUUAAAAGAUCUAUAAAGCUGCCAGUCAACAUCAAAUGUCUCUUUGCAGAUGCUCUCUUUUCUACAGCCAGGGGAUGGUAUCAAUAAAAAGAAAAAACAGAAGGCCUUCAAUGCAGUAGUCAUUCCUGCUCCCUUAUUCUUUAAGUAUUUAGCCAAUUUAGGAGAAAGGCAAGAUCAAAAUGCAGGAUAAUCAAUGUAAGCUGACACAAGGCCUAAAUUUUAUAUGCCUUUUCUUAUUUCUCUUCCAAAAUAUCAGAAUAUGAGGAAAUGCGAUUUUUAAAUGAGCAUAGUUAAUACACCCUGGAAUGAACAAUAAACAGCUGAAAUGAGCUCCUCAGCCCAUUCUUUUAAAAUGUCUAACGUGUAAUCCUGGUAACACUUAACAUUCAUUUGAACAUGAAAAGGCUUCAGGCUAGAGGUGCUAAUAAGAACACCCCACACUUCAGCUUUAAACAGACAUGGCAAUUUGUAUUUCAAUAAGGGGAAAAAAAAUCAGUCUUGAGGAAAGAAAUACCUCCACUCCUCCACUGUAUCCAUUUACAGUACUCACGUGCACACGUUUCAGCAUCACUAAUGCAAAUCCAGCGUCAGGAAGACAAUUUAAAUUGCCCUUCAAAAGGCAGAAAAAGAAACAUAUCAUUAGCGUGACAUCUCACUUCUGUGAAAUGCAUGAAAGUCUGGUUGUGCUGCAUAAAGGUACAGGUAGGUGUAAAUGAAAAAAUGCAUUCUUUGCUUGGUGAUAAGGAAAAUGUGGAAACAGAAAUGCCAGGGUGACAGACUAUCUUCUGCUUUUUCUCACUCUGCA